rnacentral:tRNA from 1 species
AUAACAAAAAACUUAGGCUGCUAACCUAACAUUUAAUUUUUAAUUUGUUUAU